UUAAGCGACUAAGCGUACACGGUGGAUGCCCUGGCAGUCAGAGGCGAUGAAGGACGUGCUAAUCUGCGAUAAGCGUCGGUAAGGUGAUAUGAACCGUUAUAACCGGCGAUUUCCGAAUGGGGAAACCCAGUGUGUUUCGACACACUAUCAUUAACUGAAUCCAUAGGUUAAUGAGGCGAACCGGGGGAACUGAAACAUCUAAGUACCCCGAGGAAAAGAAAUCAACCGAGAUUCCCCCAGUAGCGGCGAGCGAACGGGGAGGAGCCCAGAGCCUGAAUCAGUGUGUGUGUUAGUGGAAGCGUCUGGAAAGGCGCGCGAUACAGGGUGACAGCCCCGUACACAAAAAUGCACAUACUGUGAGCUCGAUGAGUAGGGCGGGACACGUGGUAUCCUGUCUGAAUAUGGGGGGACCAUCCUCCAAGGCUAAAUACUCCUGACUGACCGAUAGUGAACCAGUACCGUGAGGGAAAGGCGAAAAGAACCCCGGCGAGGGGAGUGAAAAAGAACCUGAAACCGUGUACGUACAAGCAGUGGGAGCCUCUUUAUGGGGUGACUGCGUACCUUUUGUAUAAUGGGUCAGCGACUUAUAUUCUGUAGCAAGGUUAACCGAAUAGGGGAGCCGAAGGGAAACCGAGUCUUAACUGGGCGUUAAGUUGCAGGGUAUAGACCCGAAACCCGGUGAUCUAGCCAUGGGCAGGUUGAAGGUUGGGUAACACUAACUGGAGGACCGAACCGACUAAUGUUGAAAAAUUAGCGGAUGACUUGUGGCUGGGGGUGAAAGGCCAAUCAAACCGGGAGAUAGCUGGUUCUCCCCGAAAGCUAUUUAGGUAGCGCCUCGUGAAUUCAUCUCCGGGGGUAGAGCACUGUUUCGGCAAGGGGGUCAUCCCGACUUACCAACCCGAUGCAAACUGCGAAUACCGGAGAAUGUUAUCACGGGAGACACACGGCGGGUGCUAACGUCCGUCGUGAAGAGGGAAACAACCCAGACCGCCAGCUAAGGUCCCAAAGUCAUGGUUAAGUGGGAAACGAUGUGGGAAGGCCCAGACAGCCAGGAUGUUGGCUUAGAAGCAGCCAUCAUUUAAAGAAAGCGUAAUAGCUCACUGGUCGAGUCGGCCUGCGCGGAAGAUGUAACGGGGCUAAACCAUGCACCGAAGCUGCGGCAGCGACGCUUAUGCGUUGUUGGGUAGGGGAGCGUUCUGUAAGCCUGCGAAGGUGUGCUGUGAGGCAUGCUGGAGGUAUCAGAAGUGCGAAUGCUGACAUAAGUAACGAUAAAGCGGGUGAAAAGCCCGCUCGCCGGAAGACCAAGGGUUCCUGUCCAACGUUAAUCGGGGCAGGGUGAGUCGACCCCUAAGGCGAGGCCGAAAGGCGUAGUCGAUGGGAAACAGGUUAAUAUUCCUGUACUUGGUGUUACUGCGAAGGGGGGACGGAGAAGGCUAUGUUGGCCGGGCGACGGUUGUCCCGGUUUAAGCGUGUAGGCUGGUUUUCCAGGCAAAUCCGGAAAAUCAAGGCUGAGGCGUGAUGACGAGGCACUACGGUGCUGAAGCAACAAAUGCCCUGCUUCCAGGAAAAGCCUCUAAGCAUCAGGUAACAUCAAAUCGUACCCCAAACCGACACAGGUGGUCAGGUAGAGAAUACCAAGGCGCUUGAGAGAACUCGGGUGAAGGAACUAGGCAAAAUGGUGCCGUAACUUCGGGAGAAGGCACGCUGAUAUGUAGGUGAAGCGACUUGCUCGUGGAGCUGAAAUCAGUCGAAGAUACCAGCUGGCUGCAACUGUUUAUUAAAAACACAGCACUGUGCAAACACGAAAGUGGACGUAUACGGUGUGACGCCUGCCCGGUGCCGGAAGGUUAAUUGAUGGGGUUAGCGGUAACGCGAAGCUCUUGAUCGAAGCCCCGGUAAACGGCGGCCGUAACUAUAACGGUCCUAAGGUAGCGAAAUUCCUUGUCGGGUAAGUUCCGACCUGCACGAAUGGCGUAAUGAUGGCCAGGCUGUCUCCACCCGAGACUCAGUGAAAUUGAACUCGCUGUGAAGAUGCAGUGUACCCGCGGCAAGACGGAAAGACCCCGUGAACCUUUACUAUAGCUUGACACUGAACAUUGAGCCUUGAUGUGUAGGAUAGGUGGGAGGCUUUGAAGUGUGGACGCCAGUCUGCAUGGAGCCGACCUUGAAAUACCACCCUUUAAUGUUUGAUGUUCUAACGUUGGCCCCUGAUCGGGGUUGCGGACAGUGUCUGGUGGGUAGUUUGACUGGGGCGGUCUCCUCCUAAAGAGUAACGGAGGAGCACGAAGGUUGGCUAAUCCUGGUCGGACAUCAGGAGGUUAGUGCAAUGGCAUAAGCCAGCUUGACUGCGAGCGUGACGGCGCGAGCAGGUGCGAAAGCAGGUCAUAGUGAUCCGGUGGUUCUGAAUGGAAGGGCCAUCGCUCAACGGAUAAAAGGUACUCCGGGGAUAACAGGCUGAUACCGCCCAAGAGUUCAUAUCGACGGCGGUGUUUGGCACCUCGAUGUCGGCUCAUCACAUCCUGGGGCUGAAGUAGGUCCCAAGGGUAUGGCUGUUCGCCAUUUAAAGUGGUACGCGAGCUGGGUUUAGAACGUCGUGAGACAGUUCGGUCCCUAUCUGCCGUGGGCGCUGGAGAACUGAGGGGGGCUGCUCCUAGUACGAGAGGACCGGAGUGGACGCAUCACUGGUGUUCGGGUUGUCAUGCCAAUGGCACUGCCCGGUAGCUAAAUGCGGAAGAGAUAAGUGCUGAAAGCAUCUAAGCACGAAACUUGCCCCGAGAUGAGUUCUCCCUGAGACUUUAAGUCUCCUGAAGGAACGUUGAAGACGACGACGUUGAUAGGCCGGGUGUGUAAGCGCAGCGAUGCGUUGAGCUAACCGGUACUAAUGAACCGUGAGGUUUAACCU
rnacentral:rRNA from 1 species